rnacentral:lncRNA from 1 species
CUGCACUACUUGGUGAAUCGAUGUGUACAUUUAACUCAUCAUGUUGCAUUUGUCUCGAGACAGGUCAUGUCCACUAUAUCCAUACUGUGUUUAAGGUCCCCUGAAAAUGCAGCCUGUGCUAUUGAAUCUGGGGCCGGAGACCUUGCUAUUCAAGCCAUGCAGAGGUUCCCAGAUUCAGACCAGCUGCAAAGGAACUCUUGUUUCAUGAUUAGGAACCUUGUGGUCAGGAAUCCAGAGAACAGGUUAUCCUUUAAAUUCGCUUUCCAUGAACUUUUCCUUUCUACUAUUAUACUAUUGAGUUUAUUUCUGAGAUCAUAACAUAUGUUAAAUCACUUAUGUUAUAGAACUCUUUUGCUCGGGAAUGGCAUUGAGGCGCUCCUCAGAAAGGCCAAGGCAUAUUUCGAUUUCUACUAAUUGAAUUUUUAGAAUAUUAUUUUGUUAAACUGCCUAACACUGCAAGAUAUUUUUGAUAUAAAAUUAAUUUAUCCAUUCAGGUUUUUGGUUAUGCUCGAAAAUUUGCAAAAUUAGGAAUUGCAGAAGUUCUCGUGGACUCACUCCAAGAAGGGAUCAGUUCGUCCAGUCUAGUAUCAGCCAGCAUUGCGUUGAAGGCUGUUGCUGUCAAUGUAAGUCUAUCUACAUGCAACCAUUCAAUGUUAAAAUUUUCAUAUUUCAUACCGUGAAAAGGACCCAAGUGUCUUUUUAACUAAAAAUUACUUUUAAUUGUUUGUGGAUAUGUUCUGACCUUCUUGCUCUAUUAAACUAUAAUAUGGAAAGUUUGAAAUCAUAGAUCACUCGAAUAUCUGAACUUAAGACAUGUCAGUGUAGCUCAUGGUGAAGAUAAUUUGCCUAAUCUACCUUAGUGGGCUGGAAUAAGAGUAGUUUCGAAGGAGUGGGGUGUUGGCCUGAAUAAUUCAAGCAAAGGUGAGAUUGUAUUAUUGGCUCUGAAACAGGCCUUUUUUUUAAUUACAGUAGCGUAACUUCACUAUUUACUACUCAAAUUAGAGAGAAAUAAUCUGAGACUUCUGUUUUGAUAUUGUUUUUGAAAGUUAAAAGGGAAAAUCUUAAAAAUUAAAGCUGAAACUCUACAUUGCUUUGGUUUUUGUAAUGAGAAACUGAUCUCUUUUAAACUAGGCUGUAGAAGCAUAUUAUGUAUGUAGCUUUUAGAAUCUUCCAGCUUUAAUUCUGAGUUCUCUGUCUGCAGGAUGAGAUUUGCAGAUCAGUUGCUAAUCAUGGGGGUAUAGACGCUAUUCUCCAUUGUAUUGACAAUAGUGGUGAGCAGUGCAACAAUACUGUGGCUAGAGCCUGCUGCUCGUUGUUGUCUAAGGUGCAAAGCUUAAAACAAAAUAUUCUUUCUUGCUCUUUUUUGGUGGAGGCCAAUUAAAUGUACAUCAUAUGAUUAUCUUCUUUUCUAAGGUCUCUCUUAGAUAAAUGCGUUCAAUUGCCAGGUGUUCUCUUUGGCUCUUUGCUGUUGUUCGUUUUUAAUAAAAUAAUCUGAUCUCGAGACAACUAUACAAUACGAGUUUAUAAAACUUUAAUAGGUAUUUGAUUUUAACCAUUUUUCGUUAUUGACAUUUUGUUAGAUGUCAUUGCGUUGAUUAAUAAAAUAAUCCAAUCCUGAGACACCAGAUAUGACUAGUUUAUGAAAUUAUAGUAGUUAUUUGUUUUUCACCAUUUUAUCAUUAGCUUUUGAUUGCAUUAUUUACAUUAUUGUAUCCUGCAAAGCUUUGUGCUCAGGAAAUCUUCAAGCAUUUCUAAUACGAUGCACUUUAUCAGUUGGCCGGAAGUGAUGUGAACAAGAGUGCUAUUGUUGAAAAGCAAGGCAUGGAUAGGCUUAUCAAACUAUCAUCAAGAUUCUCCGAUGAUCCUUCUGUGUUACAAGAGGUAAAGAAAUCAUUAGUUGUUUCUUAAAUUGAGUCAUACUUAAUUUGAAUUUCUUGACACUGAUGAAGAAAUAGGAACAUCCAUAGCUGUUUAUUCUGUGUGUUCAUGUGUUAACCCAAGGAACAACACAAGAUAAGCCCUCCCCAUGGGAUUCAUAUUGAUAGCCAUAUGCAGAUAGGCCAGAACUAUUUUGCUGACUUAACUACUAACAUUUUUUUUAAAUUGCAUCUUAUCAAGGAACAACACAAGAUAAGCCCUCCCCAUGGGAUUCAUAUUGAUAGCCAUAUGCAGAUAGGCCAGAACUAUUUUGCUGACUUAACUACUAACAUUUUUUUUUAAAUUGCAUCUUAUCGUUGCUGACAAAAUAAGUAGGAAUCGGAGUUAAAUUGUGGGGGUUAAUGCUGUGGACAUCAAUUAAAAAAUUAUCACGAUAUGAUUGUAAAUGUGCAAUUAGAAGUUGUAAAGCAGGCUGUGCCAACAGGCCAGGUUUUGCAUCACUGUGUAAUGCAUGUUCCAUGCCAAAUAUAGCAUUUGAUUAGCAAUUUCUGCACUACUUGGUGAAUCGAUGUGUACAUUUAACUCAUCAUGUUGCAUUUGUCUCGAGACAGGUCAUGUCCACUAUAUCCAUACUGUGUUUAAGGUCCCCUGAAAAUGCAGCCUGUGCUAUGGAAUCUGGGGCCGGAGACCUUGCUAUUCAAGCCAUGCAGAGGUUCCCAGAUUCAGACCAGCUGCAAAGGAACUCUUGUUUCAUGAUUAGGAACCUUGUGGUCAGGAAUCCAGAGAACAGGUUAUCCUUUAAAUUCGCUUUCCAUGAACUUUUCCUUUCUACUAUUAUACUAUUGAGUUUAUUUCU